GAACUGCGGCCAAUGGAAGGUGCGGGGUCGGUGCCUGCGGGCGUGGGCAACGAGCAGAGCCCCCUGGCCUCUCCACCUAGGAGCCAGACAUGGCAGCUGCUGCUGGUAGCCGCUUGAAGUGUCUCCUGAAUCUAUAGGGCCCUACUCAUCUCUUAAAAAGUAUGCACAAUAUCAACGGGAAUUAUGUACAUGUAUCUGAAGAGAGAAAAAGUUUAGAAUCCUGAUGGAACUGAUAUAUUGACUACACUAUUCCCAAUGAAAACAGGAGAUUCCAGUCAUCUUAAUGUCAAGGGAAUUCAGAGUCAUGGCUGAAACUCCAGAAUUGCAAGGGUCUACAAACAGUUGGAGAAACAGUGCAGAAUCUGUGUUGCAAUGCCUAAGAACAUUGCUAGGUGACUUAAGGACAAGAUUUAAAU